AAAGCACGCCUGGAAGGAUAUGGCCUGGCCCGGGUGGAGCAGGCCGGCCAGCAGCCUGGGGACCGUGACGGUGGUAAAGCAGACGUCCACGAGGCUCAGACAUGCCACAAAAUGUUGAAUGAAGAUAGGCAGCGUUGGCAAGGAGAGUUUCUGAAACUUCCACUGGAGGGCUCUGCGUGUUCCGGCAGGAAUGGCCUUCACGUCUCUUCCUGGCUCACUGUUACCACCUCCAAUUCUGGCAUCUCUCCAGCUGCUGAAGCCCCAGAAUGAACUUCUGCUCAUCUGAUCCACUGUAUAAAUAGUUUCUGGGUUUAUGCACCGGUACUCAACCUUAUUGCCUGUCCGUUUAAUAGCUCAUAGUCUCUUAAUCCCUGCAGUCUUUGGCAUCCUGUCUGGGCUUGAGUAUUUACUAUGUAGUAGGUGAGUGAAAAAAGCCUGAGAUACUUGGAAGUGACUAAUUUUGUAGAUAAAGAAUCAAAACUUGAACAGAUCUGUAGGCUAAAAAUAGCAGAGACUGAAUUAAAACUUUGAUCUCCAUAUAUUCUGUUGAAGGUUCUCUUCAUUCAACUGUACUGCCUUUUGCAUUUCUGAAACUCAUUGCACCCACAGUCAUUAUCACUCUGUUUAGUUUUGAAUUCUUUGAUGAUUAACUGGAUGCAGGGAAGGAGGCAAAGCUACUGGGCCUAACUCUAUGGCCUCUGGCAAGUCACCGAAUCUGUCAUCUGUGAAGUGAGAAUAAUAAAAGCUGGCCUUCCUAUUUUCUAAUCCUGGUCCUGGUUGUCACUGUGGGUUACAUUCAACUGUGCCACUGAAAAAUUCAAAUGAGAACACAGAUUUUAAAAUUGCUUUGUAAAUAUUG
rnacentral:lncRNA from 1 species